UGCGAUUCCACUCUCCUGUAUAAAGGAUCCAAGAAAAGAUUUUAGUAAAUACCUUGAGGGAGAAUGCAUAAGCAUGAAAACCUCCAGAUCUUGGUUUCCCUGGCCUGAAUCUUCGACGCCAUUUUGUUAGCAGUUCGAGAUGGAUUCAAGCAAAUUAAGAAGUGGAUUAUCCUAAAAAUUCGUUGGAUACAGACAAGGCCUAUAGAUCUAUAUGACAAUCAGAAUGAUUACCUCAUAGUGGACUAUAAGGCCUACAACAGCUAGCUAUUUCUAAUCAGAGAGGUGGGAAGACCCGGUAGGAUGUAAUACCAAGUAAACAGUAAAUGGAAAUUUAAAUUAUAAAAAAGGUAGUGCCUGAAAAAGACAAUUUAAGACUUGAUAUUUUGAAUGAAAAAUAAAAAUUGAAAUAUA